CGAGCCCGUUGGACGGCCGCGCUCUCCCUGUUCCAGGGAAGGUGAGGAAAGUCCGGACUCCAUAGGGCAUGAUGCUGGGUAACUCCCAGGCGGGGCAACCCGACGGAAAGUGCAGCAGAGAGCAGACCGCCGAUGGUCGCAGGACACAGGCAAGGGUGAAACGGUGGGGUAAGAGCCCACCAGCGUCCCCGGUGACGGGGACGGCUCGGCAAACCCCAUCAGGAGCAAGGCCAAGCAGGGAUUCGACUGCCCGUCGUAGAUCCCGGGUAGGCCGCAUGAGCGCCCUGGUGACAGAGCGCCAAGAUGGAUGGUCGUCCUCGACAGAAUCCGGCUUACAGACGGGCUCGCCCC
rnacentral:RNase_P_RNA from 1 species